UACGUAGGUGGCAAGCGUUGUCCGGAUUUACUGGGCGUAAAGAGCGCGCAGGCGGUCGUGCAAGUCGAGUGUGAAAGCCCCCGGCUCAACUGGGGAGGGUCACGCGAUACUGCUCGACUCGAAGGCAGGAGAGGGAAGUGGAAUUCCCGGUGUAGUGGUGAAAUGCGUAGAUAUCGGGAAGAACACCAGUGGCGAAAGCGCUCUACUGGGCCAUAACUGACACUGAGGGACGAAAGCUAGGGGAGCGAAAGGG
rnacentral:rRNA from 1 species